rnacentral:rRNA from 1 species
CCUACGGGUGGCAGCAGUGAGGAAUAUUGGUCAAUGGACGAGAGUCUGAACCAGCCAAGUAGCGUGAAGGAUGACUGCCCUAUGGGUUGUAAACUUCUUUUAUAUGGGAAUAAAAUGUUCCACGUGUGGGAUUUUGUAUGUACCAUAUGAAUAAGGAUCGGCCAACUCCGUGCCAGCAGCCGCGGUAAUACGGAGGAUCCGAGCGUUAUCCGGAUUUAUUGGGUUUAAAGGGAGCGUAGGUGGAUUGUUAAGUCAGUUGUGAAAGUUUGCGGCUCAACCGUAAAAUUGCAGUUGAAACUGGCAGUCUUGAGUACAGUAGAGGUGGGCGGAAUUCGUGGUGUAGCGGUGAAAUGCUUAGAUAUCACGAAGAACUCCGAUUGCGAAGGCAGCUCACUGGACUGCAACUGACGCUGAGGAGCGAAAGCGUGGGUAGCAAACAGGAUUAGAUACCCCAGUAGUC